rnacentral:lncRNA from 1 species
AUGGAACCAGAAGCUGGUUGGGGCCACAGGGAGACAGAACAAUGUCAUUAUGACAUGUCUGAGCAGUGCCUUCAUGCCUUAAACCCCCACAGCAGAGAAAUAGGACCUGGAGAAUGCUUGCACUCACCAUUCUUAAUGAGAAUGCUUAAUACAGAAAGGAUUCAAGAAAACCUCAAGUUUCAUUUGCUCAGAGUGUGCUGUGUGCAGAGGCCUUGCACCUGGCCCUUCAGACCAGAGUUCCUGGUGCAAAAUGGCAGCACCAACAUCUCAGCUCAGCUGGAGAGACACCAUGAUUCAAGAUGGCAGUGGUGCCUCGUAAGAACUGCCCCCAGCAAGAGGUCCCUCCAAACCAGCCCUGCCUACAGCCAGGGUGGUUGGGGAGUGAGGAGUGUGUGCCCCAGAGCUUGAACCAGCACCUCUCCAUUCUGUAAUCAAAGCCUUCCUCUACUUCUAAGUUGAAUUUGGUUUUGUUCUAUUGGCUUGAAUGCUCCUAGUCAAAAGGACCCAUUCAGGAGGGUAGGUAACCCUUCCACAACUGUUACAUCCAUCUUUCUAGCACAAAUGUCAACAGGGUACAGGCUUUUCAGGACGCCUGCAGAAGCAGAAUUUGAUUGCCUUCCAAAUAUAAGAGCAGCUUGUGUUGAAUUUUGUAAAUGAUUUAAAUAUUUUCUUGUACACAGUUUAAGCUGUCAUUGUGAUGAACCUAAAUAGUACGAUUAAACAAAAAGCCACAUCUAUGUUUUAAAUUUCCAACUAUAGUCUUCAACUGCAUGCU